rnacentral:rRNA from 1 species
CAAUAGCGUAUAUUAAAGUUGUUGCAGUUAAAAAGCUCGUAGUUGGAUUUCUGGUGGGAGCGAUCGGUCUGGCGCUUAGCGCGAGUACUUGCAUCGUCUCCGGCCAUCCUUGGGGAGAGUCUGUCUGGCAUUAAGUUGUCGGGCAGAGGAUCUUCAUCGUUUACUGUGAAAAAAUUAGAGUGUUCAAAGCAGGCUUAUGCCGUUGAAUAUAUUAGCAUGGAAUAAUAAGAUAGGACUUUGGUACUAUUUUGUUGGUUUGCGCACCAAAGUAAUGAUUAAUAGGGACAGUUGGGGGUAUUCGUAUUCCGUUGUCAGAGGUGAAAUUCUUGGAUUUACGGAAGACGAACUACUGCGAAAGCAUUUACCAAGGAUGUUUUCAUUAA